rnacentral:rRNA from 1 species
GAUGAAUGCUAGCGAUAGGCCUAACACAUGCAAGUCGAGGGGCAGCAUAGAGUAGCAAUACUUUGAUGGCGACCGGCGCACGGGUGAGUAACACGUAUGCAACCUACCUACAUCAGGGGAAUAACCCGGAGAAAUUCGGACUAAUACCGCAUAAUACAGGGAUGCCGCAUGGCAAUAUUUGUUAAAGAUUUAUCGGAUGUAGAUGGGCAUGCGUUCCAUUAGCUUGUUGGUGAGGUAACGGCUCACCAAGGCAACGAUGGAUAGGGGAACUGAGAGGUUCGUCCCCCACACUGGAACUGAGACACGGACCAGACUCCUACGGGAGGCAGCAGUGAGGAAUAUUGGUCAAUGGACGAGAGUCUGAACCAGCCAAAUCGCGUGAAGGAAGACUGCCCUACGGGUUGUAAACUUCUUUUGUACAGGAAUAAAAGACAUUACGUGUAAUGUAUUGCAUGUACUGUACGAAUAAGCAUCGGCUAACUCCGUGCCAGCAGCCGCCGUAC